rnacentral:rRNA from 1 species
GACGAACGCUGGCGGCGUGCUUAACACAUGCAAGUCGAACGGAAAGGCCCUGCUUUUGUGGGGUGCUCGAGUGGCGAACGGGUGAGUAACACGUGAGUAACCUGCCCUUGACUUUGGGAUAACUUCAGGAAACUGGGGCUAAUACCGGAUAGGAGCUCCUGCUGCAUGGUGGGGGUUGGAAAGUUUCGGCGGUUGGGGAUGGACUCGCGGCUUAUCAGCUUGUUGGUGGGGUAGUGGCUUACCAAGGCUUUGACGGGUAGCCGGCCUGAGAGGGUGACCGGCCCCAUUGGGACUGCGAUACGGCCCAGACUCCGACGGGGGGCAGCAGUGGGGAAUAUUGCACAAUGGGCGGAAGCCUGAUGCAGCAACGCCGCGUGCGGGAUGACGGCCUUCGGGUUGUAAACCGCUUUCGCCUGUGACGAAGCGUGAGUGACGGUAAUGGGUAAAGAAGCCCCGGCUAACUACGUG